rnacentral:RNase_P_RNA from 1 species
GUCUGCCGGAUGAUCGCGGCUGCAAGUGUCGAAAGACCGCAGGUGAGGAAAGUCCGAGCUUCUCAGGGCAGAGUGCCGGGUAACACCCGGUGGAGGUGACUCCAAGGCCAGUGCAGCAGAAAUAAACCGCCGGCUUUGACCGGUAAGGGUGGAAAGGCGAGGUAAGAGCUCACCGCCUCCCCGGUAACGGGGAGGGCACAUGUAAACCCCACUCGGAAGCAAGACCGCAUAUAAAACGAUACGCUGACCCGGCGUGUUUUAGGGUAGGUCGCUCGAACCUGCCGGCGACGGCAGGUCUGGAUAGAUGAUCAUCUUCAACAUAACUCGGCUUACAGGCAGGCUUC